UAACCGCAUAGGGGAGCCGAAGGGAAACCGAGUCUUAACCGGGCGUUAAGUUGCAGGGUAUAGACCCGAAACCCGGUGAUCUAGCCAUGGGCAGGUUGAAGGUUGGGUAACACUAACUGGAGGACCGAACCGACUAAUGUUGAAAAAUUAGCGGAUGACCUGUGGCUGGGGGUGAAAGGCCAAUCAAACCGGGAGAUAGCUGGUUCUCCCCGAAAGCUAUUUAGGUAGCGCCUCGUGAACUCAUCUCCGGGGGUAGAGCACUGUUUCGGCUAGGGGGCCAUCCCGGCUUACCAACCCGAUGCAAACUGCGAAUACCGGAGAAUGUUAUCACGGGAGACACACGGCGGGUGCUAACGUCCGUCGUGAAGAGGGAAACAACCCAGACCGCCAGCUAAGGUCCCAAAGUCAUGGUUAAGUGGGAAACGAUGUGGGAAGGCCCAGACAGCCAGGAUGUUGGCUUAGAAGCAGCCAUCAUUUAAAGAAAGCGUAAUAGCUCACUGGUCGAGUCGGCCUGCGCGGAAGAUGUAACGGGGCUAAACCAUGCACCGAAGCUGCGGCAGCGACACUUUAGUGUUGUUGGGUAGGGGAGCGUUCUGUAAGCCGUUGAAGGUGUCCUGUGAGGGGUGCUGGAGGUAUCAGAAGUGCGAAUGCUGACAUAAGUAACGAUAAAGCGGGUGAAAAGCCCGCUCGCCGGAAGACCAAGGGUUCCUGUCCAACGUUAAUCGGGGCAGGGUGAGUCGACCCCUAAGGCGAGGCCGAAAGGCGUAGUCGAUGGGAAACGGGUUAAUAUUCCCGUACUUGGUGUUACUGCGAAGGGGGGACGGAGAAGGCUAUGUUGGCCGGGCGACGGUAGUCCCGGUUUAAGCGUGUAGGCUGGUUUUCCAGGCAAAUCCGGAAAAUCAAGGCUGAGGCGUGAUGACGAGGCACCACGGUGCUGAAGCAACAAAUGCCCUGCUUCCAGGAAAAGCCUCUAAGCAUCAGGUAACAUCAAAUCGUACCCCAAACCGACACAGGUGGUCAGGUAGAGAAUACCAAGGCGCUUGAGAGAACUCGGGUGAAGGAACUAGGCAAAAUGGUGCCGUAACUUCGGGAGAAGGCACGCUGACACGUAGGUGAAGUGAUUUACUCAUGGAGCUGAAGUCAGUCGAAGAUACCAGCUGGCUGCAACUGUUUAUUAAAAACACAGCACUGUGCAAACACGAAAGUGGACGUAUACGGUGUGACGCCUGCCCGGUGCCGGAAGGUUAAUUGAUGGGGUCAGCGCAAGCGAAGCUCCUGAUCGAAGCCCCGGUAAACGGCGGCCGUAACUAUAACGGUCCUAAGGUAGCGAAAUUCCUUGUCGGGUAAGUUCCGACCUGCACGAAUGGCGUAAUGAUGGCCAGGCUGUCUCCACCCGAGACUCAGUGAAAUUGAACUCGCUGUGAAGAUGCAGUGUACCCGCGGCAAGACGGAAAGACCCCGUGAACCUUUACUAUAGCUUGACACUGAACAUUGAGCCUUGAUGUGUAGGAUAGGUGGGAGGCUUUGAAGCGUGGACGCCAGUCUGCGUGGAGCCGACCUUGAAAUACCACCCUUUAAUGUUUGAUGUUCUAACGUGGACCCGUAAUCCGGGUUGCGGACAGUGUCUGGUGGGUAGUUUGACUGGGGCGGUCUCCUCCUAAAGAGUAACGGAGGAGCACGAAGGUUGGCUAAUCCUGGUCGGACAUCAGGAGGUUAGUGCAAUGGCAUAAGCCAGCUUGACUGCGAGCGUGACGGCGCGAGCAGGUGCGAAAGCAGGUCAUAGUGAUCCGGUGGUUCUGAAUGGAAGGGCCAUCGCUCAACGGAUAAAAGGUACUCCGGGGAUAACAGGCUGAUACCGCCCAAGAGUUCAUAUCGACGGCGGUGUUUGGCACCUCGAUGUCGGCUCAUCACAUCCUGGGGCUGAAGUAGGUCCCAAGGGUAUGGCUGUUCGCCAUUUAAAGUGGUACGCGAGCUGGGUUUAGAACGUCGUGAGACAGUUCGGUCCCUAUCUGCCGUGGGCGCUGGAAGACUGAGGGGGGCUGCUCCUAGUACGAGAGGACCGGAGUGGACGCAUCACUGGUGUUCGGGUUGUCAUGCCAAUGGCACUGCCCGGUAGCUAAAUGCGGAAAAGAUAAGUGCUGAAAGCAUCUAAGCACGAAACUUGCCCCGAGAUGAGUCUUCCCUGAGACCUUGAGUCUCCUGAAGGAACGUUAAAGACGAUGACGUUGAUAGGCCGGGUGUGUAAGCGCAGCGAUGCGUUGAGCUAACCGGUACUAAUGAACCGUGAGGCUUAACCUUACAACGCCGAAGCUGUU
rnacentral:rRNA from 1 species